CUAAUUCUUACUUUUCGAAUUUCACACAAGAGGUUGUACAACUAUUUUGACAGUUGUGGAAGGAAUGGAUAGCUUUGUAUCUGAGUUUGCGAAUGCAUAGCUUUGUAUCCUGAAAUUGAUGAAGCUAUGAGUUGUGCAGAGAUGCUCGAGAAAGUUCUCUCUUUUGAUAUUGUAGGCACAAAGGUAUAUCUAAUCAGUAGACUGUGAUCUUAGACAAUUUUUGAGACUGUGAACUGAGACCCACGGAACGAAUUCUGCAGAUGACUCUGGUGCUGGUGACAAAGUUAUUAGUUUGGGGUUAAUUUGAAUCAGUUGGUGGUGAUUUUGUUGAUGUUGCUGGUUCGUGAACACAGAGAAGAUUGUGAUUCUAAUGGUGCCGUGCAGUAUUGGAAUUGAAGCUUGAAUGGGGUUGUGGGUUUGUUUGGCUGAGUCACUCUCUUAAAUUGCUUUUACUGAUCAAAGCAGGAGAUUUCUGCAGAAGAGAAAGAUUAGCCAGGCAGUGGGGAGUAAAUCGGCAAUGUUCAUAUGCAUUAUGCUAGGAUAAUUGCAUUGCUGCACGUUGUAUAUCAGUGCAAAACAGAGGAAAGAUGGCAAGAAAAGUUAGUUUCAGGAAGUCUAAUUCUUACUUUUCGAAUUUCACACAAGAGGUUGUACAACUAUUUUGACAGUUGUGGAAGGAAUGGAUAGCUUUGUAUCUGAGUUUGCGAAUGCAGUUCCUGAAAUUGAUGAAGCUCUGAGUUGUGCAGAGAAGCUCGAGAAAGUUCUCUCUUUUGAUAUUGUAGGUUAGAUAGACUUACUAAAAUGUUAAUGCUCUGGAAGUCACUCUCUUAAAUUGCUUUUACUGAUCAAAGCAGGAGAUUUCUGCAGAAGAGAAAGAUUGUUAAUUAUGAUGAAAUUCCUGGCUGUCUCUUGAAUUUGCUGAGUCUGCUGUUAGCUCUUCAAUUGUUUGGCUGAGUUUGCUGUUAGCUCUUGAAUUUAAUAAUUAUGAUGAAAUUCCUGGCUUUUACAUUUUUUAACUAGCUUUCUUUUCAGUCAUGGUUUUUGAUGUUGUUCAAUUCUUACCAUUUUGAUGGCAGAACCAUCAAAUCGUAUCGGAGCUGAGACUGCACGUGUACUUGCAAUACAUGAAGUUCAAGUAUUUAUUGCAGUGAGGAAUAUAACUGAACAUAUUUUACAGUCGAUGCUGUAAUUGCUGAGGUACACAAACGAGAACUCUUAACCAGGGUUUCUGUUGUUGUGUAGAGAGACAAUGAGACAUGGUGAGAAAAAGCUGGCAUCUAUCUCAUCUCAGUUGCUGAUACACUUACGGAUGGAAAAGCAAAACAUAAUCAUCUUGGCUUAUCGAUCCUGUUCUUAUUUAAGGUCGUAUCUGUUCAUAAAUUUGAUGCUUGGAUUAGCAAUUUGGAUGAUUUUGUUGGUUAUGUAAUUAGAAAUUCAUCUUAGUUUUGCAGCGUUCAAAAGUAUAGAAAACCUUUGAAACUGUGUGAGGGUCAGCAUUGGAGCUAUCAAAACAUUGGGGGUUAAAGUUCUGAUCUUCUUAGCCUCUAGCCUUCUCAAGAGAAAGGUCUGUCCUGCUCUAUUGAAGAUUUUUCUGCUCUUUUAUGAACGGGUUCACACUCUUAUGAUGGGUGCAAGAGUAUAGAAAACCUUUGAAGCUUUGCGAUUGUAUUAUCUACGAAGUGCUGCAACUUUGUGGAGAAUCCUAUUUAGUUGCGAAACAUGUCUAUCAGAGGUAAAUCCUAUUACUUUAUGCAAGGACCUAAAGUCUGUGGCUGCCAAACUGAAACUGACAGGCAUAUCAGCAAACUGUGGGUGUACAAGUUACCAGCAAGCUUCCUUAGAAUGUAUAAAUUGCCAUAUGUUUUACUCCUCCGUGGACUGUUCCUCAUGCUAUUAAGCUGUUCUAUUGGGAGCAUUGAAUCUGUCAUCAUGUACAUUGUGUAGGAUUGUGAUUGUAUUCUUUCAGUUAAGACUUAUAUUGAAUCUAUCCUGUGUCGUGUUAAGGGCUUCGAGGUACUAAUGUUUGCUACGGAUUCUCAACGGGUAUACUAUAUUCCGUGGUAAUUAUCGCAUGUCUUUAUCAUCUCCACUCCUCAAUGUGAAGUUUUUACAGCUUUUUACA